rnacentral:rRNA from 1 species
AUUGAACGCUGGCGGCAUGCCUUACACAUGCAAGUCGAACGGUAACAGGUCUUCGGAUGCUGACGAGUGGCGCACGGGUGAGUAAUACAUCGGAACGUGCCCGAUCGUGGGGGAUAACGAAGCGAAAGCUUUGCUAAUACCGCAUACGAUCUACGGAUGAAAGCAGGGGACCGCAAGGCCUUGCGCGAACGGAGCGGCCGAUGGCCGAUUAGGUAGUUGGUGGGAUAAAAGCUUACCAAGCCGACGAUCUGUAGCUGGUCUGAGAGGACGACCAGCCACACUGGGACUGAGACACGGCCCAGACUCCUACGGGAGGCAGCAGUGGGGAAUUUUGGACAAUGGGCGAAAGCCUGAUCCAGCCAUGCCGCGUGCAGGAUGAAGGCCUUCGGGUUGUAAACUGCUUUUGUACGGAACGAAAAGACUCUGGUUAAUACCUGGGGUCCAUGACGGUACCGUAAGAAUAAGCACCGGCUAACUACGUG